rnacentral:rRNA from 1 species
GACGAACGCUGGCGGCGUGCCUAAUACAUGCAAGUCGAGCGAAGCGGCGGAUGGGUGAGUAACGCGUGGGUAACCUGCCCUUAAGUCUGGGAUACCAUUUGGAAACAGAUGCUAUUACCGGAUACUUAAGGAUGGACCUGCGAUGCAUUAGCUAGUUGGUAAGGUAACGGCUUACCAAGGCGAUGAUGCAUAGCCGAGUUGAGAGGCUGAUCGGCCACAUUGGGACUGAGACACGGCCCAGACUCCUACGGGAGGCAGCAGUAGGGAAUCUUCCACAAUGGACGAAAGUCUGAUGGAGCAACGCCGCGUGUGUGAAGAAGGUUUUCGGAUCGUAAAGCACUGUUGUUGGUGAAGCGUUAAUCAAACAGAAAGUCACGGCUAACUACGUGCCAGCAGCCGCGGUAAUUC